rnacentral:tRNA from 1 species
GAUUGAAUGGCUGAAGUGUAAGCAGUAGAUUGUAAAUUUAUAUAUGAAGAGUAUCUUCUUUAAUCA